GACGAACCGAGCGAACGUUGUUCGGAAUCACUGGGCUUAAAGGGCGCGUAGGCGGGUGCUCAAGUCCGUGGUGAAAUCCUCCGGCUCAACCGGAGAACUGCCUCGGAUACUGGGCGUCUCGAGUGUGGUAGGGGUAUGCGGAACUAUCGGUGGAGCGGUGAAAUGCGUUGAUAUCGAUAGGAACUCCGGUGGCGAAAGCGGCGUGCUGGACCUCUUCUGACGCUGAGGCGCGAAAGCUAGGGGAGCAAAAAGG
rnacentral:rRNA from 1 species